UGCUGAGUAUUUAUAGGCAACAUAUCUAAUAUAUUCCUUUCUUGUGAUUUCGUCUCUUCUAUAUUUGUUGUAAUUGUCAAUAACGAAAUCCAUCUUUUCUUUGUCUUGCUAUUAACGUACUUAUGUGUAUGGCCGUCGAUGGUUAUAAAAAUUGACUCCUAGGAUAGUUGCAGUGUGCAAUAUGUCCAUCAAAUACAGCAAAGUUCAGAACAAUAUGAAUCAAAAUUAACUAAAACCUUUGUUUAUAAACAGAUUUUACCAAUAUACCUGCACGGUAUAGUAUAUGUACAAGUAUUAACUUACCUGUAAAUCCAAUUAGGAGC
rnacentral:lncRNA from 1 species